rnacentral:rRNA from 1 species
AUGCCAAGACCCUUCUAUGGAUGCGUCAAGUACCCCUAUCGCAUCUACGAAACCGCCAAGAACGCAUACUGCGACUACCGGUGUUUCCGAAGACCGCCAAGUACCGCUUUGUCAGACGCUCGAACGGCUAUCACACCGGAACGCCAAGUACAUGGAUACGCCGAGUUCCCCUUCAACCGUGUACAACUGCUCACGCCAAAGACCGCGUGUACCUCUACCGUUGCCAAGUACCUCAUGGAUCCGACAAGUACCCCGAUGACAUGUGUACCACUACGCCCGAAGACCUUGGAUGCACCAAGUUCCACUACGAUAUGUACCACUACCAUCGUCGAAGACCCGUGUAACGCAAGUGUCAAGUUCCUCUACCAAUGA